rnacentral:rRNA from 1 species
UACGUAGGGGGCAAGCGUUGUCCGGAUUUAUUGGGCGUAAAGAGCUCGUAGGCGGUCUGUCGCGUCGGCUGUGAAAACUCGGGGCUCAACCCCGAGCCUGCAGUCGAUACGGGCAGACUAGAGUGCGGGUAGGGGAGACUGGAAUUCCUGGUGUAGCGGUGAAAUGCGCAGAUAUCAGGAGGAAACACCGGUGGCGAAGGCGGG